ACAAAAAAAAUCAAGAUUUAAGGCUAGAUACAUGUAUUUUAUAGAGCACCUCAACAAAGUUCUCUAAUUGUACCUCCUCAUGGAGCUUGGAGAAGCCGGCGACCAUCUCCGCGGAGCCCCCUCCAACGGCAACGGUUGGUGGCGGCUUUCCGACGGCCGACAGUGAAGCUCCAACAGCCGACGGCGGUCCUCUAAAACGUGUGUGUCCCGCCCGUAGCAGUUGGGGGCAACACAGCCUCUCUGGCCAAGUCUGUUCAUUGAUGCAUCCUCUGUUCAGUCGGAGGAAGAUGAAGUGUCUGACGUGCGGGCCAGGGCGUCAAUGAGACAAAGGGUCAGGAAGAGCUCCUGCUUAUGGGUUGCUGUUGGGCGGCCACAAUAUUGGCCCUGGCUAGUAGACCCGCCAUGAAGCUCUUCCAGAUAUUUUUGUUGUUAGCAAUAGUGAGAUUUCAGAUACAAAGUAGAGGUGCUUCAAGGUCAAUCUGAUGCUCCAGAUCUGGGUUUUCAGAUUUGGAGCUAUCCCAAUAAACAAGCUCUUGUACUUGAACCAGAUGUAGAUGAAUGCGUGUCCUAACCUACAUAAUGUGACGCCUAUGCAAACUUUGAUUGUUAACCAUGAAGAAUCAGUACUAAAUUUUACAUGUGGUACUAUAAGAAAACAUCAU